rnacentral:rRNA from 1 species
UACGUAGGGUGCAAGCGCUGUCCGGAAUUAUUGGGCGUAAAGAGCUUGUAGGUGGUUUGUCGCGUCUGCUGUGAAAUUUCGGGGCUCAACCCCGAACUUGCAGUGGGUACGGGCAGACUAGAGUGUGGUAGGGGAGACUGGAAUUCCUGGUGUAGCGGUGAAAUGCGCAGAUAUCAGGAGGAACACCGAUGGCGAAGGCAGGUCUCUGGGCCACUACUGACGCUGAGAAGCGAAAGCAUGGGGAGCGAACGGG